CUACGGAGGGGGCUAGCGUUGUUCGGAGUUACUGGGCGUAAAGCGUACGUAGGCGGACUGAUCAGUUGGGGGUGAAAUCCCAGGGCUUAACCCUGGAACUGCCUUCAAUACUGUCAGUCUUGAGAUUGGAAGAGGUGAGUGGAAUUCCUAGUGUAGAGGUGAAAUUCAUAGAUAUUAGGAGGAACACCAGUGGCGAAGGCGGCUCACUGGUCCAAUACUGACGCUGAGGUACGAAAGCGUGGGGAGCAAACAGGAUUAGAAACCCUAGUAGUCC
rnacentral:rRNA from 1 species